AGGAAGCGCUGCACUGCUGUCCAGGGCAGUUGGACUCGUUCUGUGCCUUCUUUGGGGGUCAGGAAAAGGAGGUGAAGACUCGGGGCUCUGAUGCCACUUUGGGGCACCCCAGUGUCCCUAGGAGAGGGAGCCACACUGCGGUGGAGGAGCAGGCAGACCCCGCGACGACGGCGUUGGCCUCCGAGCGCGGCGGAAGCGUGCGGCCCGAGGAGCCGGGCAUUCUUAGGAGGAUGGCGAGUAGCAGACUUGUUGGGUUUUGGCCGCUGUGCGUUUGAGAUCGUGCAGUGAUGUUUGGUGUUUCUGAUUGUAGCUGACCAAGGGACCACAGCCCGGUGAAUGCGGGAAAUUCCCAGGGGGAGAGGCAGCCUUCCUUCAUACCCCAUGUGGAUUCUCAUCCUCAGAGGUCUGAGAGUGCCAAUUCCUUCGAACCCGUGACCCGGGAGCCCGGACAGGCAUUGGCGCAGCAUCUGUCUUUAGAAGGCCCACGGACACGACUGCCAGCCCUUUUUCCACGGGAAACAAAGCUCACCACCCCAGAUUCCUUGCAUCGGUUUGCCGAAGGCAUUUGGGACUCCCAGUUCUUGUUGGCUGCAGCAGCACAACACAGCAACCCCAACAGCGAGACCACACCGGAACCCUCCCGGUGGGAUAACACAGCAACCCUCAUACCAGGACAAUGACAGAACCCUCAGAGGACAACAAGUACCACUGCAAAAAGGUGCCACAGCCUUGGACUCAGGAUGAAGCUGGAGACUCGAGGACCCAGGCACACUCAGGAGAGG